GAUGAACGCUGGCGGCGUGCCUAAUACAUGCAAGUCGAGCGAACGGACGAGAAGCUUGCUUCUCUGAUGUUAGCGGCGGACGGGUGAGUAACACGUGGAUAACCUACCUAUAAGACUGGGAUAACUUCGGGAAACCGGAGCUAAUACCGGAUAAUAUUUUGAACCGCAUGGUUCAAUAGUGAAAGACGGUCUUGCUGCCACUUAUAGAUGGAUCCGCGCUGCAUUAGCUAGUUGGUAAGGUAACGGCUUACCAAGGCAACGAUGCAUAGCCGACCUGAGAGGGUGAUCGGCCACACUGGAACUGAGACACGGUCCAGACUCCUACGGGAGGCAGCAGUAGGGAAUCUUCCGCAAUGGGCGAAAGCCUGACGGAGCAACGCCGCGUGAGUGAUGAAGGUCUUCGGAUCGUAAAACUCUGUUAUUAGGGAAGAACAUAUGUGUAAGUAACUGUGCACAUCUUGACGGUACCUAAUCAGAAAGCCACGGCUAACUACGUG
rnacentral:rRNA from 1 species